rnacentral:rRNA from 1 species
AAAGGAAUUGACGGGGGCCCGCACAAGCAGUGGAGUAUGUGGUUUAAUUCGACGCAACGCGAAGAACCUUACCUGGGUUUGACAUGCAGGGGAAAGCUACAGAGAUGUAGCCUCGGCUUCGGUCGCCGCUGCACAGGUGCUGCAUGGCUGUCGUCAGCUCGUGCCGUGAGGUGUUGGGUUAAGUCCCGCAACGAGCGCAACCCUCGUCCUUAGUUGCCAUGCCGAAAGGCGGAACCCUAAGGAGACUGCCGGGGACAACCCGGAGGAAGGUGGGGAUGACGUCAAGUCCUCAUGGCCCUUACAUCCAGGGCUACACACGUACUACAAUGGUCGGUACAGAAGGUUGCAAGACCGCGAGGUGGAGCUAAUCCCAAAAACCGGCCUCAGUUCAGAUUGAAGUCUGCAACUCGACUUCAUGAAGGUGGAAUUGCUAGUAAUCGCAGAUCAGCACGCUGCGGUGAAUACGUUCCCGGGCCUUGUACACACCGCCCGU